UAGAAAAGGAUUUAAAAUGAAAUUUUAAAACGGAUCUUUUAAGGUUUAUUUAAGUGCCACCGCCAAAACUAAUAUGGGAACAGAGGCAAAUGUUGCAGACCAGAACUUUGACCCAACUUUCCUCGAUAGAGAAGGCACAGACCAUUCUGCCCUUUCUGUUCCCGCACGCCCACCCCCAUCCCGGCCGCCGCCGGCGCUCUCGUCGGCCCUAGGCGUCUGCAACCGCCGCCGCGUGGGGAGCUCACGCCCAGGCUCUAAUCGACUCUACUGAUGUGCUCGACCAAUUCUCGCGCCCAUGCUGAUUCAUCCACGGCACCGCUACAGCCAUAAUUUUCUACAGCUCGCAGUGUCUCGUCGCCUCUCCUGCCCGAAGAUUUUCUCUAGUAGAGUACGUACAACUACGCAACCGAGCUCAUUUUUUUUAGCAGAUUCUUGUACAGACAUUUUACAACCGAGGUCAGGAUGCACCCAACCAACACUAACACGCACACCGGGAUCACGCCGGCAAACAGCAAAGCCAUAAAAGACCAACGCUAUAGUAACACAGCACAAGUAGAUAACCAUACUUGAAUAAUCUCAUAACCAAGUUUAUAAAAGUACAUAGCACAGCCAUAAUAAAAAACUGAUAAUGAGGCAUCAAACUUGAACCUUACACAUACAUAGUAGGACGGACGAAAAGAACAUAGUACAUGACCAAACCGUGCCACACAACCUUUCUUUAUCCUGGAACUGAUAAGCGAUCCUACAAGCCAACCUUUGCUUCUUUCUUUCUGCAUUCACUUAACACUCUACCACAGCC